rnacentral:rRNA from 1 species
AACGCUAGCUACAGGCUUAACACAUGCAAGUCGAGGGGCAGCAUUUUAGUUUGCUUGCAAACUAAAGAUGGCGACCGGCGCACGGGUGAGUAACACGUAUCCAACCUGCCGAUAACUCGGGGAUAGCCUUUCGAAAGAAAGAUUAAUAUCCGAUGGUAUAUUAAAACCGCAUGGUUUUACUAUUAAAGAAUUUCGGUUAUCGAUGGGGAUGCGUUCCAUUAGUUUGUUGGCGGGGUAACGGCCCACCAAGACUACGAUGGAUAGGGGUUCUGAGAGGAAGGUCCCCCACAUUGGAACUGAGACACGGUCCAAACUCCUACGGGAGGCAGCAGUGAGGAAUAUUGGUCAAUGGACGAGAGUCUGAACCAGCCAAGUAGCGUGAAGGAUGACUGCCCUAUGGGUUGUAAACUUCUUUUAUAUGGGAAUAAAGUAUUCCACGUGUGGGAUUUUGUAUGUACCAUAUGAAUAAGGAUCGGCUAACUCCGUGCCAGCAGCCGCGGUAAUACGGAGGAUCCGAGCGUUAUCCGGAUUUAUUGGGUUUAAAGGGAGCGUAGGUGGAUUGUUAAGUCAGUUGUGAAAGUUUGCGGCUCAACCGUAAAAUUGCAGUUGAAACUGGCAGUCUUGAGUACAGUAGAGGUGGGCGGAACUCGUGGUGUAGCGGUGAAAUGCUUAGAUAUCACGAAGAACUCCGAUUG